ACUGAUAUAAUUAAAAGUAAACGGUUCAAAUUGAGAUUUUAGUGAAAGUAUAAGGGGCAAAGUUAAUUUCACCCUAAUGCUAUGAUUAUGUAUAAUUGCAUGUAUUAGUUGACGAUAAGAACAAAGUGGGCUCUAGGCCAACAGCUGUUCUUCGUUUUCACAUUGGUGGCUUUGGUUGACAUUUUGGAAGUAUUAUUAAUAAUAGAAGUUUUAUUUAUAAUAGAAGUAUUAAUAAUGAUAUUGUCAAGAUUAUAAUAUUGUUGUUGUUUCUAUUUAGCGGAUGGGACCUACUUCUCCCGCCCCUCGACACAAAGGCUCCGUUUGCGCACCAGCUUUUUCACUUUUCUUGAAUUUUUGGCUUAAACUAGCAAAAAGCCAAUCAAAGUGGCUUUUUUGCUUUUUGCUUUUGUUUUUUUGCUUAGUUUUAGCUAAAUAAAGCCACAAAGCAAAAAAACAACAAUCUGGCCUUCUUAGUAGCAAGCUUAAAAAAAGCUUAGUUUUAAGCAUUACCAAACGGAGCCCAAAAAGCCCCGGGCUCUAAACCCAUAUGUACCCUUGUGCCCUUAACCCCUUCACUUUUCCAUCCUCAAAAUAACCCCCCUCCCAAAAUUUUUCAGUUUUUAUUUUUUUAGUUUAGUUAUUUUUUUAUAAGUUUUUUUUUAAAAUUAUUUAUUUUAUUUAUCAAUUGAAUUUUCUUUUUGAAAUCUUUUUUGUCUUUUUGUAAGUUUUUUUUGAAAUUUAUCGCCCUUUCUUGCCAUAGGAGUUAGAAAAUGUAAAAAAAUAUUGAAUUGCAUAUUUUUUUAAUAAAUGACGAAAAAAAUUAAAAAGAAUAAAGUAAGAUUUUUUAAAAAAAAAAAUCAAAUUGGCUUUAACCUGUUUCGGUCAGAAAAAAACAUUAAACUAAUUUACUUUUAAUGUAAAGGGUGGGGGAGGUGGUUCUGACGUGCGUUAAAAAUUAAACCAAAAUUAAUUAAUAAAAUAAUAAAUAAAAUGAUUAAAAAAAAUAAACAAAAAAUCAAAUAAAAAAAUAAAAUACAUAAAAAUUAAACAAAAUAAAAACCAAAAUUAUGAAACUUUAUUUUUAAUUUUAACCAAUUAUCAACUUUUCAUUAACCGUUGACCAACUAAUUAAAAUUUUAAUUUUCACUUAAAAGAAAGAGUAUAGUAAUAGUAAAAAAAUUCACAGGAUCCAAACAAAGAGGCUUAUUGGCUGCCUUAAUCCAAUAUUUGCGGUCCCUAUCUACUCUUUUUUUAAAAAAAAAUAAAAAAAUAAAAAAUAUAUCUUUUUUUCCCUAAAGAAGAAAAAAUUAUUUUAUCCGAAAAUAAGUAUUCUAAAAUAUUUUAUCUUUAUAGUGAAUUGUUUUCGAUAUCAUAUUUUUAUUAGUUCGGACUCCUCCACCAAGAAAAAUCAAAAAACAGUAAAAUUUUGAUCAAAUCGAAAAGAGUUUUCUUAAAGCCAAACCCAUGCUGAAAAUUUUGAUCCAAUAAUUGGUUAUUUUCAUAUAUAUACUUUUUAGUUGAUACUUUUUUAAUUUUUAUAAAAAGUGAAGAAAUAAAAUUAAAAAAAAACGCAAACAACAUAUUACAACAUAUAAUUAAAAAUAAUAUUUAUCUAAAAAUAAAAAAUACUAUUGAGAAAUAAAAAAAUAAAUUUUCAUAAAACCAAAAAAAAAAUUGAUAAAAAAUGAUUUAACAAACUAAAAAAGGAAUGAAACGGGAGGAGGGGGGGUAAAAGUAAAGGAAUAAAGGGAGGGGAGGACAGGGUACUUUCUUGGGAGACAAGGGGGGACAAGGAGGGAGGCGGGGACAAGGAGGGGCGCGGUGUCGGGGGCGGGCAAAGAAAUUUGCGUAGUGGAUCUUCUGAAAGAUUUUCUGUAUCGUUCAAUUUUCAGAAUUAUUUUUAUAUUAUAUAUUUUAAAAAUUUUAUUUAGUCGACGUUUUUCAAUUUUAUUUUGUUAAUUUUUUUUAUAAACGAAUGCAUUUUUAGAUAAUAUUAAAAAUACGUCAUCAAAUUCUAUAAAAUUAUAUUUAUUAAUAAAUAAAUAAUAUAUAAAAAUAAUAAAUUAUUUUAUUCUCAAAAUAAUUUCUAAAUAAGUAUAUUGCAAAAUUAUUUCUGAAAAUGGAACCAAACAAUAUUUUUAUAUGAAUAAAAAAUGUUUAGCUCCAUUUGUAGUUUGUCUUGAUAAAGUUUUUAAUUGAGAAAUAGAAAAUUUCUUACUAGAUCCUAAUACGGUGACGGGUUGUAGGUCUUGCUUUAACGUAUUGACUAGAUUAAUUACUCCGUCCCUCUUAUUUUUAUUUAUUUAUUUAUUCUUGUCUUAUUUGUUCGUCAACUUUUUUACUUUUUAAAUAUGUCAAAAUAUUUAUUUAUUUUGAAAAGCCAACCACCCAAUAGUGUAAACAGGAAAUAUAUAUGGUCUAAAGUAUAAAGUAUAUGGUAUUCAUUUUCUUGUUGGAAAUAUAUAGAGAUUCCUUUCUUGGGGUCCAUGGAUUUGAUUGUGAAGAGAGACCUGAACUGUUAAAGCCCGGAUAUUACUAUUGGAUGGAAAAGCAUACUAUGAGGUAAACCAAUCCCUUCAUCUUUGUGUUAAAUGCAAGUUUGUCUAAAGCCACGUAACUAGCUUUAGGUUUAGGUUGUGUUUGGAAAAUAGGGAAAGAAACAGAAAAGAAGAAAAAAUAGGAAUGUUUCUCAUUUUUUGUUUGGGUCUUAAUUUUUGAGGAAAAACAACUAAAAAUUUAUUUUGUUUUGAAUUUUGAAUUUUGAAUUUUUUUUAUUACUCUUCCCCCUAUUUCUAGUCUAUUUUAUUUCUAUUAUUUGUUUAAGUUAUUCUUUUUUCAAUUUUUUCAUUUUUUUUAAAACCAAAUAAAAAAUUACUAUUUUUUCUCUUUUUAUCUUGUUUCCUUUCAAAACCUAACAUAGAAAUGUAAACUAAUUUUCUCUAGUUCUUCCUUUCAAAUUAAUUUUUCUCGAUCUACUUUCUCUCUCUUUUCUUUUUCUUUUCAUAAGUUCCAAACAUGGUCUUAAAUUUGGAGUUCGGAUCCUCUGAAGUGCAUCCCAUGUGAAGUGUUUCUGGAGUGUACAAAAUGAAAACAAUGUCGUUUUAAUUAAUCAUAAAAUGACGUCGUUUUAAUUAAUCAUAAAACGACGUCGUUUCAUGGUCAGGACUAAAACGACGCCGUUUUGUAUAUUUUAGAAUGUCGUUUUAAUUAAUCAUAAAACGAUAUCGUUUCAUAGAAUGUGCAAAACGACGUCGUUUUGCACAUUCUAGAGACACUCCACAUGGAAUGUACUCCACAGAAUUCGAAUGUCGUUUUGCACACUUAAGAAUACUCCACAUGGAAUGCAUCCAUAGGAUCCGAAUCCUUAAAUUUGAUCUCUAAAGAUCAUUUCAGGUGCAUUAGCCUGACAAUAUUGGUGCAAGAAUAUUCUGGUAGUCAAUAUCUAUUGAUACUCAAGUAGUAAAGUAAAAGUAAAAGGUAUAAAAGAACAGCUAUUCCAUAUUUAACUCUUAAUGGUUGGAUGGCAUGUAAGGAAGUCACACUAUGAUCAAUCAAAGAUUCCUUCGCCCAUGGUUUUUCUUUUGCUUUCUUCGUAAUUUCAUUAUUGAUCAAAGUUGAUACUACGUUGUAGCUAAACUUAUGCUAAAUGUGAUUAUUCUAAAGCAGAAAUUGAAAACGAAAGAGUGACUACAAUACACACAUUUAAGAAUUGUGCAUAUUUUGGGGGCCUUGAUAUCCACAAAUAGUAAGCAUAAUUGAUCAUAACAUUCUCAAUAGAUCGUAAUAAAAAUAUUACAACUUUUUUUAUUAUAAAAAGUUCUAACAUUUAUCACAAUGAUGCGUAAUCCACUAUUUUUCACUAUUUUUAACAUACCCCUAGUAAUUUUCACCACACCGAUUAUAACAUAUACCAAUUGUAAUAUUUUUGUAAUACACAUGAUGUGUACUAUAAAUUUUGUCCGAAAAGUAUCAAAAUAAAACUUUCAAAAAAUUAGUUUCAUCUAGCUAGCUUUUGAAAUUAUUUUCGGCUCAUAAGCAGCACAAGUUCAAGACAUGAAAAAGUAAAAGUUACAGCAAAAAAAACUUUGGACAAACACCCUCUCUAUAUUCAAGUAAUCUAAUAAUUGUUUUUUAGGGAUAAUUUUCGUUCAAGUUGGAUUUAAUUUUUCUUUAACGAACUUUUUCUGUUUUUUAAUCAAAAAAUUUAAAUUUUUUGAUGUGUCUAGAAUUUGAUUAAUUUUGUAUUUAGUAAACUUUUUUUUACCUUUUAAUUUUAAGUUAAUUAGUGACAAUAAAAAAAAGUUACUUCCUUCUCUCCUCCCCAGCUCAGCAGUUUGUGUCAUUACACCCACUGAAAUAAUUUGGCCAACCAGGCCCAGAAGGUGUUGUUGAGGUAUGCAUUGAAGUAGUGAAUUUCUCAUGACCAAAAAAUUUAAAUACUGAAAAAGUAAUAACUGCUUUGUAGAAAUUAAUUAAUCUGGGUUAUGUAGCGUAAAAUUAUCCUAUGUGGGUAGGCAACAUAAAUAAGCAACUAGCAAACUGGUGAUGAUUGUGAUAGAGGGUAAAAAUCAACCAUAUAAUUUGGGUAAAUUUCCCCAUUGGUCCUUGUAGUUUGACCAAAAAUUCACUUAAUUUGUUACAAUUUCAAUUUGAACAGUUAGGACUCUAUAGUUUCAAUCUGGUUCCAAUAUAAUCUGUUGCCAAUACCUACCAGAGGUUUAGAUGGAAAAGAAGUAUGUGAAAACUCAUACAUGAAUUUUUAUGGACUAAAGUGAAACUUUAGUCAAACCAUAGGGAAUAUUGGUGGAAAAAUUACCCUCGAAAAGGGUCACGUGAGCACAUGACGAGUAGUGAUGGAGGGACUAAUUAAAAGAAAAUAUCCUAAUUAUUCAAAUCGAUACUAUAGGUACCAAAGUAAAACUUUGGUCAAAUUAUAGGUACCAAUGGUGAAAUUUACGUAUUAAUUUUAUGUGAAACUGGGUAUCCAGUGUGAGUAGCAAUAGGAGUUGUGAUCCAAUUGGUGUUCCUGUUACAAGUUUUCCGCUCCUACGGAUUCCGAUGGAGAACCGUGAAUUGCUUGUCACGUAAGGAGUGCAGCGCACUUCUAUAAUCGGUACGUUUGAACCAGAAAAUAACAAGAUAUGGUCCUCGCUUCUUAUUAGAGUACAAUCAAAUCAAUUUAUUAAUUUGUUACUUUUUGAGUGAUACUUUUGUGGGGUAACGAGAAAAAAGAGAUAAAAUUGAACGUAAAUACCAUAUGUGGUUGACUGAAGAAAGUUGGUGGCAGAAGAUCUGCGAGACAAGAAUAGUGAGAAAAAUCGACCAAAGUUGUUCUGGGACGACUACGACUCUUUGAUAAUCAAGUUAGUGUCCAAAAAUAUAUAGAGAGAAUAUAUAACGUGUGAGUUGAAAUUAUGUACCCAUAAGAGAGGAAAGGCAUAACCUUUUUAUAGUGCAACUCAGCACGUCCAGGCAUGCAUUAACUGUCAUGUCAGUGUUAGGCGGUUGCUUCAAACAUGCCCAUAAAGCAUAGCUAGUAGCAAACCUAUGGCGUUAUCGACGUUUAGACCCAGGCGUGCGGGUGACAAAUAAAACUUCAUCGUGCAAUUUACCCUCUAACCCUAACGUGACUUGGAAUCAUUACAAGGUCAAAUCCUCCGACUGAGCUCCGACACGAUGAUGUUAUCCAAACUUACUAAGAAGAGACAAUUCGGCGGUGGCGCUCUCUCUAGCUCGAUCAAAAAUGAUGAAAGAUAUUUUUUCCUCCCACAACUUCUACUAAAUUAAUAAAUAGAACCAAGGGUACAAUGAAAUAAUUAAGCUAUGAACACUUUGGUAGCUACAUGAAAAGUUAGGCUCAAUUGGCCUAGAUUUCUUAUAAGAUUUUUUUACAAUAGGUUUUGAGUUUUCGUCUUUAGUGUAUGAUUAUGAACUUUUUUAACCAUUUAAUCAAAAUCUUAUAUUUUUCUCAAUUUUUUUACUAGAAAAUUCUGAAAAUAUAAAUUUUUUUAUCUAGUUUGAAAAAAAAGUUUAUUAAACACAAAAAAAUAUAAUUAGCUAAAUUAUAAAAUUAUUAUAUUUUUAGAUUCCAAAAACAAAUAACCCAAAAAAAAUUUUUAAAAAAAAACACUUCGCCUUAAUUGUUGGUUUUGCUUUAGAAUUCAAACUUUUCAAGGUGUUACUGUAUAUAAUAAAUGCAUUUAAAUUCUAAUUGAACUGCGUUAAAUUACAAUAUUGUUCAUUUAUGCUUACUUUUGAGUCUAUUCAUCGUCAUUUUUAAGGGGUAGUUUUUAAAAACUCACUUUUAUUGUAACUUUUCAAAGAUAUUCAACUCUUUUGAAUUUUCCUAAAAUAGAAAGUUUGACCAAUAAUAAGAAUUAAGGGAGUAAAAGGUAAAUUAUAAGGGACAUGACCCAGAUAUCGAAUUCAAUAAUGCCACAGUAUAAGAGAGUUGUUGAAGCAGCCAAAGGCUUAGCCCAGUAGUAAGGGUAAGCCUUAUCAAGACUUUAAUUUUGGGUUCGAGUUUUACCAUUUGCCUACGGGCAUAUAGCGUAUUGAUAAAAAACGAGUGUCCGGGAUGCGAGUUAACACUCGAUGUCCCCCCGUUCGAAUUCAUGGCUCUUCGUUACAUUAACUUCCAUUUUACAUUCUGUGGGUUUUUACGGAGCUGCCACACGUCCCCCCCCCCCAUCUUCCUUUCCUGGUUUCUCCUCUUCUCUCCUUUUUGGUGUCCUUCCCCCCCCCCCCCCCCUUUUUCCGCCCCUUGCUAUAUAUAUAUAACGUAUAAUUACGUACUAUGGAGAGCUACAUCGAGCCAAGUAAGUUAUGAGUUUCAAGAAAUGUGUUGAAGCUGGUUUGUGUGCCUGUCGAGCCAAUCUCAAACGAAAUUUCAAUUAUCUGAUCUCGAGUUGAACUUUAAGUUUUUCUUUUCUUGAAAAAUAUACUAGUUUUAUUGAGUACAGUUCAAGCGGAACUCAAAAUGUUAUCAACAAUUCAAAAAUGUAAACAUUUCAUUGCUAUCCAAAAAAUGUAAAUUAUUAGGUACUUCCAACAAAUAAACGACCAUAACAUACAUAUUGUUGGUCAUUUCUUGUCUCACAUUACUCAACAAAUGUAAGUUAUCAUGUUGCACUCACAAAAUUUAUUGCUACAGAAUUAAUUGAGAGUACCACAAUGUAAAAAUAUUAUAUUGAGCAUGUUUUGUUGCAGCUUACUAGUUGCAACUUUUUCACAACUUCUGCUUUCGUUUAUUAGCUAAAAACAAAAGUUUUUUUUUUUUUUUAAAUCUCAUUUUAAAAACUUUUUAAAUUUUACUUUUAAAUAAAUAAAUUUUAACCUAAAUUCAUCCACGAGGAGGCAAGGAGGCUGUUGGAUCACCACAAAUUCGUGCAAUAAUUUUUUUAGUUGGUUAGGUAUUCUCUGGCCUUGUGCUAAGACAUUAAUAAUAAAUUCUCAGAAGAAAAAUAAAAUUCAUUUUAUUAUUUUUAUUUUUCAUAAAAA
rnacentral:lncRNA from 1 species